rnacentral:rRNA from 1 species
GUCGAACGCAGUAGCAAUACUGAGUGGCAAACGGGUGAGUAUAAUGUGGGAAUCUGCCUUGUGGUUCAGGACAACAUUGGGAAACCGAUGCUAAUACUGGAUAAGCCCUUACGGGGAAAGUUUUAAUGCCAAAAGAUGAGCCCGCACUUGAUUAGCUAGUUGGUAAGGUAAUGGCUUACCAAGGCAACGAUCAAUAGCUGUUCUUAGAGGACGAUCAGCCACACUGGAACUGAGACACGGUCCAGACUCC